rnacentral:rRNA from 1 species
UGGGGAAUAUUGGACAAUGGGCGAAAGCCUGAUCCAGCCAUGCCGCGUAUGUGAAGAAGGUCUUCGGAUUGUAAAGCACUUUAAGUUGGGAGGAAGGGCAGUAAGCGAAUACCUUGCUGUUUUGACGUUACCGACAGAAUAAGCACCGGCUAACUCUGUGCCAGCAGCCGCGGUAAUACAGAGGGUGCAAGCGUUAAUCGGAAUUACUGGGCGUAAAGCGCGCGUAGGUGGUUCGUUAAGUUGAAUGUGAAAGCCCCGGGCUCAACCUGGGAACUGCAUCCAAAACUGGCGAGCUAGAGUAGGGCAGAGGGUGGUGGAAUUUCCUGUGUAGCGGUGAAAUGCGUAGAUAUAGGAAGGAACACCAGUGGCGAAGGCGACCACCUGGGCUCAUACUGACACUGAGGUGCGAAAGCGUGGGGAGCAAACAGG